UACGGGGGGAGCAAGCGUUGUUCGGAUUUACUGGGCGUAAAGGGCGCGUAGGCGGCCAGCACAAGUCAGUUGUGAAAUCUCCGAGCUUAACUCGGAAAGGUCAACUGAUACUGUGCGGCUAGAGUGCGGAAGGGGCAACUGGAAUUCUUGGUGUAGCGGUGAAAUGCGUAGAGAUCCGGAGGAACACCAGAGGCGAAGGCGGCCUACUGGGUCAGUACUGACGCUGAGCCGCGAAAGCCAGGGGAGCGAACGGG
rnacentral:rRNA from 1 species